rnacentral:miRNA from 1 species
GCGUGCAAGCAGGAAGGGGGCAGGGAUCCCUCAGCUGGGAAGGGAAGCUUCCCGUUGCCUAACUGAGAGAUCCCUGCCCCCUCCUGCUUGCUCACAAGCUCUGAUAGGCAGCGUGAAGCCUCCCUUCACAGCUGAAAGAUCCUUGCCUCCUCCUGCUUGCAUGC